GAAAUUCUUCUUCUUCCGUUCACCAUUUAUUUUGCUAGUGAGAUCCCUUUCUCAUAUUCGUAAGGAAUCUCCAUAGAUACAUGGACAUAGGCAAUGAGGACUGUAACGUGCCUAAGAUAUUAGUUAGAAUGAAAUCCAGGUACCUUGUGAAUGGAAAGGGAAAAAGAGAAUAUGAUGUGAGAAAGAGCUGGAAAGUGAUGCGAUCCAUGUCCACAAACUUGAAAAUUGAACAACAGUUGCAUGUGUAUGUAGUGGUGGACUGGUGGUGUCUCUAAAUUAAUCUCACAGUCAUAUCAUUUGUGAGAUUACAAAAUUAAAUUUAGAAGCUAACCAUAUUAUUCUAUAGCUGCUAAUCUGUUUUAUGUGCAGUUUUUUUGUCAUUCCUGCAUAACUGCAUAUUUUAAUUUCAAAGGGCCACUUGCUACUAAUACUGAUCUUAUACGGUGAGGCCCUUCAAUUCUCUUUUGUAAUGGACAAGUCUUGUUAAUGAAUUUUGUUUGCUAAUUUCUCUAAUUGUUUCUUCCCUUUUGUCCAAAAGAAAAGUUACAAAGAAAAUUGAAACAUCCCUCUAAAGUUUUCAAUAAACAGGUUUAUAUUUGCUUGGUUGAUUACUUACUUGAUUGUGUGUCAAAAAGUUUCUAACAUUCCACUCCAUAGUCCAAACUUAUCACAGUAGAGUGAUUUAUAAAAUUUCCUUUAGCAGUGACUCAAAUUUGUAAGGUAGUAGUAACCUGGAAGUACUCAAUAAUCACAUGACCCACUUAGCUGCUGAAUGAUAAUACCAUUUAGAUAUGGCAAGAAUCCAAGGCGAUUUGUUUGUUUUUAAGGCAACACUCAGACCCAUUGAUAGGCAAUAGAUGAAAGUAGCAUCCCAAAUGUUUCAAGGCAUUUACUCAAUGCUGCAUCAAGACAAUUAGCUAUGGGUCAAAACACAGCACCAUCAUUUGAAUACCCUCCAAAUUACCCUUGACUCUGUUUCCUCUUGGCUAAGUCCUUUUGGAAACCUUCUCCAGCAAAGCUUUCACUUUCAUGGAGCAUUUUUUGUGAAUAUCUGGUUUGCCAUCGUGGAAGCUUUUUCUGCUAGCUUGUCCCUCUUCUACUUAGCAAACUGAAUAAUCGAGUCACUUUUAAUUUCUUAUAAACCAAUGUGUUUUGAAAUUAGGACCAGUCAUAAACUCGAUCAGGAUUGUGAUCAUGGCCUGUGAUGUUUUCACUUUCUACCCCAGUACUUGGAUAUUCUGAAAAUAAUUAUUAGAGUACAAAAUAACCUAGGGUUCUGUAUUGUCUUCAUGAAUUCACUUGCAAAUUUACGCUUAAUUUAUAAUGUUUGUGUAUUCUCUCUGCAACUUUCUAACUAGUGGCCCAUGUUUCUGUGUUGCACAUUUUUCACAGUUUCAGCUUGCAAAAAUCAGUUACUUGUUUUUAGUCUAGUAUCUUAAUAAGCUAUUUUUCUUAGACAGAAAAGAGUUGGAGCAUUUUCAAGCUCUUGCUAAAGCUCAAUAUCCAAAGGUGCUGAUAACAAGAGGAUUUGUGUUGUCCAUUCAAUUAUUUGUUACAUAACUAUUCCCCCCUUUUCAUUACAUUUUAGCUUAAUUUCUUUGGCUCCUGUAUGUUUACUUCUCCAUGUUGUAAUUCAACUAAGACAUUGGUCUUAACUCUUAACUGAUAAAUCCAAGUACAGUUUUUUGUAAUUGCUUGUGCAGACUCUAGGGUAUGCCCCUCCAACAUAUCAGGAUUCCAACCUUGAGAAGUAUUCAUGAUACGUAACAUCGCCAAUCUUGUACCUGUGAUGAAGGUGAAUAAGGUGCUUCAGGUGCUUCAGUUGGGCUGGUCUGCUUCAAAUUUUUGUUUUGGGGUCAGAUGUUAAUUCUUUAGGUAUCAUCUGUGUAACAUUUUCAAGUGUGUAGCUAUUUAUAAUAAACAAAUAAGUUUUCAUCUAUCAAUCAAAAUAAUGCUUGAAUCUGA